ensembl:lncRNA
GCCCGUCUGCCGGGGAAUGCCAUGGAGCGAGGGGCGUGCGCGCCGGGGGCGGGCCCGGCUGAAGGGGGCGGCCGCGUGACUCAGGGCUCAGGAAUGCGCGCGGCCCGCCCCGCCAGAGCCACCUCCUCCGGGAGGACGGCGGGGACAACUCUGGCUGGGGGUCGAAAGCGCUUUGGUCGGGGCAGGAGGACCUGGUGGCCCAGCUGGACCAAAUCUGAUGGUCAACCUCACCCGCUCCCGGACCCGGAGGGCCCUUUGCUGGCCUGGGACCAGGAGGCAGUGGUCUUCUAUGAAGAGAGGAGCUGCCUUGGUCAGCCAGGAGCUCGGCCAGAGCAGGCCCUCAGCCAGGCCUGGGCCCACCUCCUAGUCCCUCCCGCCGCAGCACUCCCACCCCAGCCAGCACCACCUCGAGUUGUCCUCAG